rnacentral:rRNA from 1 species
UGCGUAGACGGUAUGUUAAGUUCGUUGUUAAAGGUUUCAGCCUAACUGGAAUAUUGCGAUGAGAACUGGUGUACUAGAGGGUGAGAGAGAGAAGUGGAAUUCCUGGAGUAGCGGUAAAAUGCGUGGAUCUCAGGAGGAACACCAAUGGCGAAGGCAGCUUCUUGGCUCAUUCCUGACGUUGAGGCACGAAAGCGUGGGAGCAAACA